rnacentral:lncRNA from 1 species
UGGGAAUAUUGAGGCUAUUGGUUUGUUAACAACUUUUUAAAACUUUUAACCAUUCUGUUCCAACAAAUCCCCACUAUAGUGUCAUUAUUGGCUCCACCUAUCUGUUAUUUAUCUGGAAAUAGAACACAAGACAGCUUCAGAUCAUCUGAGAGGUAAAAAUUCCAUUUUGGCUAUUUUUUGGGAGAAGCACUUAGAAGAAAAUCCAAUGAGUACUGAAUAUCAGCAUGCAAGCUGCUCUAAGAAGCUGGACUUCCUUACGAAACAUUUCAGAUGCUGAUUGUCCAGUUGGAAACUGAAGACAUGGGGAAUUCUUCAUUGGACAAGUGAAAGUUCAUGGUUCAGGAUGCCACAGGAAUUUAAAUUCUAUGGAAUUUAACCCAUGAUUAACAUCUGGUAAUAUGAUCCUUGAGGUCCAAAUCUGUGAUAUGUAUCCAGAUUCUCAGAUAGAAGAAAAAUGAGCAUAAUUCCUGUUCAUUUUAAUUUCAUAUAACAGAAGUUAAAAUCUGUCAAAGAAUUUAGUUUAAAACAGCUUCAUACAAGUGACAUACCCAUUGAAAGCAAGAAAAUUCUCUUUCUAAAGUAGAAGAAAAACCAAAUGAUACGGUAUGAAUAAAUAACAGCAUCUGGAACAAAGACUGGAACUAUUUGACAGAUCCCUUUGAGAAAAAGUUGUUCCCCUCACUAGCCAGGCUGAAACCUACUUGCAGAGACUGGGAUGACUACAGGCUGCAGAUUGUAACUGAAGAGUAAAGAGCUGUGUGGUUGUUCAGCACUAAGACAUUUCUGGAGCCAUGCAAAUGGUGCGUGCAAAGUGGUACGGACACGUGCUUUCUCUCCCAUCAUCACACAAGUUCUGAAUGAGACCACAAGACCCUCCAGUCCUUAAAAUAGAAUGCUGCUCCAUGCAAGUUCUUCUUUAUAGAUGAUUAAUUCAGUGUCACUUUCACAGUAAAACACUCUGUUCCAAGUUCUGAAUCAUCCAUAUGAAGUCAUGGGUAGCAAGAACACAUAAAGAUGAGGUCUGUUGCUUCAGACAGAAUAGGAAUUGGUUUAAAGCUGCUUCAUUUAUGAAGCAAACAUGAACUGUUACCACCCUAGAGAAGGAAUAGAAAAAGAAGUUACGGUGUGUUUUCUUUCUGCCUCUUUUCUUUCUCAAUAGCUGAAUGCAUGUAUAAGCCCCUAGACUGAGUAAUACACUUACACUGUGUCUUGAACUUGGCUUAAAAGAACUG